rnacentral:rRNA from 1 species
UACGAAGGGGGCUAGCGUUGCUCGGAAUCACUGGGCGUAAAGGGCGUGUAGGCGGUUUGUUAAGUCUGGCGUGAAAGCUCUCGGCUAAACCGGGAGAGGUCGUUGGAUACUGGCAAACUAGAGGAUGGUAGAGGCGUGUGGGAAUUCCGGGUGUAGUGGUGAAAUGCGUAGAGAUCCGGAGGAACACCAGUGGCGAAGGCGACACGCUGGGCCAUACCUGACGCUAAAGCGCGACAGCAUGGGGAGCAAACGGG